CAGUCGCCGCGGGAAUACGAAGGGUGCAAGCGUUAAUCGGAAUUACUGGGCGUAAAGGGUGCGUAGGCGGUUGUUUAAGUCUGUUGUGAAAUCCCCGGGCUCAACUCCGGAAUUGCCUUUAAGACUGCCGAGCUAGUAGGUGAGAGAGGUAAGUGGAAUUCCGAGUGUAGAGGUGAAAUUCGUAGAUAUUCGGAAGAACACCAGUGGCGAAGGCGGCUCACUGGACUGGUAUUGACGCUGAGGUGCGAAAGCGUGGGGAGCAAACAGGAUUAGAUACCCCCGUAGUCCCUGUCUCUUAUAC
rnacentral:rRNA from 1 species